rnacentral:rRNA from 1 species
AGUGAACGCUGGCGGCGUGCUUAACACAUGCAAGUCGAACGAGUAAGUGCUGUAGCAAUACAGAUUACUGCUAGUGGCAGACGGGUGAGUAAUACAUGGGAAUCUGCCUUGGAGCAGGGGAUAACAGUUGGAAACGAUUGCUAAUACCCUAUAUUGCCUAAGGGUGAAAGAUUUAUCACUCCAAGAUGAGCCCAUGCGAGAUUAGCUAGUUGGUAGGGUAAUGGCCUACCAAGGCAACGAUCUCUAGUUGGUCUAAGAGGAUGAUCAACCACACUGGGACUGAGACACGGCCCAGACUCCUACGGGAGGCAGCAGUGGGGAAUAUUGGACAAUGGGCGAAAGCCUGAUCCAGCGACGCCGCGUGGAUGAUGAAGGCCUUAGGGUUGUAAAGUCCUUUCAGCAGGGAAGAUAAUGACGGUACCUGCAGAAGAAGCUCCGGCUAACUUCGUGCCAGCCGCCGCUGUAACAC